CCGCUGGCCUUUCUGCAGAAGGACUUGAGGACCUGAGGCGUGACGUCUCCUGCCUGGGCAGGGAUGGGACAAGACGUGGGAAUCUGCAACGAAAGGCCAGACCCACAUCUAAAGGAAAACGGCGGUUUUGCCAGGCUGCGAUAACCUCGGGAAAUCUUCCUCUCUUUGCCAAUGUUUUAAAGCUCAGGAAAAGAAUAGGCUAAGAUCCAACGAGUGCAGACGACAGAAAGACAGAGGAGAGAGAGAAGGAAAGACAUCAUAGCACAAAGCUUCCCCAGUGUGAUGAGGCGCAGGCUCAACUCUGGGCUGUGCACACGGCAAAGCAGGACAGAGAGAAAGUGAUGAGGGAAGCUAGAGAAAGAAGACAGAGAAACACUCGCAGCAGUGCUUCACCACUUGUGAAGCUUUCCCCCUGCAGGAGAAGACCA